GAUGAACGCUAGCGGCAGGCCUAAUACAUGCAAGUCGAGGGAGAUUUUCGGGUUCGCCCGAAUUGAAACCGGCGCACGGGUGCGUAACACGUAUGCAACCUACCCUUAACUGGGGCAUAGCUCAGAGAAAUCUGAAUUAAUUCCCCAUAACACUGCACUGUGGCAUCACAGAGCAUUUAAAGUUCCGACGGUUAAGGAUGGGCAUGCGUUGCAUUAGCUAGUUGGUGAGGUAAUGGCUCACCAAGGCUAC
rnacentral:rRNA from 1 species